GAACGUAAAUGGCGCUCCUCCGCGCCGCAGCCGCAGCCGCCCCGCUCCCUUCCCGCUCCGCCAGCUGCCGCCCUCCCGCGCUCGCUUCUCGCCCCGCGGCCUGGCCCGUGCGCCUCCGAGGCUGGCCAGGGGCACCGAGGCCGCGGGCCCCCCAUCGCCCCCACCCGAGCCCUGAUUUACCGUCCGAGAGCCGGCGGCACAUGGGACCCCGAGAGGAGAAGCGCGCCUGCCCCAGUGCGUCCCCAGGCGGGGGAGCCCCGACUCCUGGAGGGACCGCGUCCUGCCCGGCCCGGGAAGUUCAGGGCUGGAGAACCCCUUCCCCGACCCCAUUUCUCUUUUAACAAGAGUAGGGUUUGUAGCUAACCAACGUCCUGACAGCUCAGCUCUGCUUUCCCUUUAAGCAUUAAUAUCAAAGCCCUGCCUGCUACCGGUGAAGCCCCGACCCGGGAGGGCCCGAAAGUCCCUUCAGGGAGAGGCCGCACUGGGCCUGCUCACCCAGGGGCUGCCCCUGCAGACUCUCCCGAGGGGCCCAGGGAUAUUCCUCGCGCCGCGAGUGGACGCUUCCAUCCACCCCAUGGGGAGGGCCUCUGCGCGUGGCUACUCUGAGCCCUCUGGAAUGCCGAGAUAGUUGCAUAAUUUCAGAAACCACGGCAUGGAGACGGAAUGAUGCAGACUCCUAUCCGCGAGAUACCUGCUGUAAUUUCGCUGUGGUUCGUGAGGACGCGUCCUGGGCUGCCCUGAGAAGCCUACGUCUCCCCUUCGAGGCCCGGGAAGACCUCCAACCCCGCUGACAAUGCUGGGCCCUCAGCCAGACCUGCCCUGCGUGCCACGUUCUGUUCUAAGAUCGGGCUGCCGAGCUGUGGCCUGGAGGAAACCUGGCAGGUGUCACCAGAGCUUUGGGGAGGGUGAGGCCCUGUCGGGGAAGCCCAGUGGGAGUCAUGAAGGAGGGAACACGUGUGGAGCCCUUGUAGGGGGAGGGGCAGCCCUGCAGAGAUCUAAGAAAAAAUUCCAGAAAAAUGAGCAGCAACCUCCAAGGCCAGGCAUCGGUGCAGGGGACAAGGGGUCGUAGCUGGAGGGGCCUAGGUGAGGCUGCCGGGAAGGGACGAUGUGGUUGGUGGAGUGCACAGGCAGGGACCUCACUGGACUUUCCUGUCUGCUCAGCAUGGACAGGCAGCCCAGGAGAAGGCAGCACGUGGCCGGGUGCAGGGACGUACCACCCCCACUUCCCCAGGGGAGCUGGGGUCAGACGAGUCCCAGGCACUCCAUCCUCUGCAGCAAGUCAGGUUGUGAUUUACUAGGGGGUGGUGAAUAUAAUGGAGAGACUUCUGGGGAGGAAUUCCUGGCUCCCGCGUGGACUUGCAGAGCUCAACAGGCAGCCACGUGGCUGAGUGUCCAGCAAACAUCACAUAAGGCUUUGGGUCCUGCAGGUGGGGCUGCCAUGAGCAGCAAGCUCAGUCCAGAAGAACAGUUCCUCUCCAGGAUCCACUUCCUGCGCACUUUUAUGUGCAGUGUAGCUGGAGCAGAGCUCCCCGGAAUUCCACAGGCAACUGAGAACGGAGAGGGAUGCAGGCCAGCCAGGGAUCCAGCGUCUUCCCCAUCGUCACUCUCCAUGGCCUCCGUCUACACACAGUGUUCGUCUGCACAGCUUGUCAGCGCGUUAUCAUGACUUCUAUUUGGCACCGGCCCGUCUGUCCACUGUCCUGGCUUGUUCCAAGCGCUGCCUUCUCCAACUGGGGUCCUGGCUGCAGAGCUGUCUGCUCCCCACGUUGGGCAACUCCAGCCAAGAUUCCUACACCCAAAUGUGACCGUGUUGCUCACGAAGAAGGCUCAGCUUUGCGUGUGCCCAGCCGUGUGCACAGCUCGUCCCAACUCCUGCGGGUGGCACCUGCCUCUCCCACCUCCAGUCUUUCCCCUGUGAUGAGCAGAUGACCACCGCCCUCCAGGGUCAGCGUUUGGCUGUUUGUGUGCCUGCCCACCCGCCUCCCUGUGCCUGGGCCUGCCCUGUGCCUGCACACAGGAGUGGCUCAUGGCGUUUGCCCUACACGGAUGGGCUGUCCUGGGAGCUACUGGACAGUCACCUUGGUGGGAAUGCCAGAGGCAUGGGCAUUAGGUCCCCCCGGCCAGCCUCCGUUGCCACAUGGGCUAUUUUUGUCCAUCGCGUGGGACAACCUAGUAUUGGGGGAAAACUCAGUCCACUCUAAAGAAGCAUCGGCGUUUUGGAUGGACGAAUGCUGCUUCAUGCGACUCCAUGUCAAUGGACUAUUUUAUUCAACUCGGGUAUUUAUGAGUGUCUCCUCUGUGCCAGCCACGUGUGAAAGAAGAACUCCAAGUUACUGGACACCAGGACAAACCAGGUAGAUCACUGCAUCCGGUUCCUCCUCUUUCUGCCGACUCUCCCGGGCAACCGUUCUGAUUCCUGGCAUGGAGUUGGGGGCGAGCUCAUCAGUACCCAGAGCGCCUGGUGUGCAGCCAAAGGCCCCCAUUUUAUUAGUCGGUGUGUUCAGUAUCACGCUCAAGACAAGGGCCAACCUAUUACUUCACACACCUCAAAUACAAAAAGUGCCUGGGAACGUCGAUGAGGUAUUAAAGGAAACCACUGGUCUUGUCAGUCAUGUACACACAGAAAAAAAAACCAGUCAUUUUUAUUUUUAUUUUUUGAGACAGAGUUUCGCUCUUGUUGCCCAGGCUGGAGUGCAAUGGUGCAAUUUCAGCUCACUGCAAUCUCUGCCACCCGGAUUCAAGCAAUUCUCCUGUCUCAGCCUCCCGAGUAGCUGGAAUUGCAGACACCCAUCACCACGCCCAGCUAAUUUUAUGUAUUUUUAGUAGAGAUGGGGUUUCACCAUGUUGGUCAGGCUGGUCUUGAACUCCUGACCUCAGGUGAUCCACCCACGUCAGGCUCCCAAAGUGCUGAGAUUACAGGCAUGAACCACUGUGCCCAGCCGAAAACAACCAAGAAUUUUUUAACAAUAAAAUGACCAGCAAGUAAACUUGAAACAAAAAUGGACAAAUAUCUAAAAUAUUUUUAAAUGUAUGUAUUUUAAUUGGCAAAUAAUACUUGUAUAUAUUGUUUACAACUUGUUUUAAAGUAUGAAUACAUUGU
rnacentral:lncRNA from 1 species